rnacentral:rRNA from 1 species
GAUGAACGCUGGCGGCGUGCCUAAUACAUGCAAGUCGAGCGAACAGACGAGGAGCUUGCUCCUCUGACGUUAGCGGCGGACGGGUGAGUAACACGUGGAUAACCUACCUAUAAGACUGGGAUAACUUCGGGAAACCGGAGCUAAUACCGGAUAAUAUAUUGAACCGCAUGGUUCAAUAGUGAAAGACGGUUUUGCUGUCACUUAUAGAUGGAUCCGCGCCGCAUUAGCUAGUUGGUAAGGUAACGGCUUACCAAGGCAACGAUGCGUAGCCGACCUGAGAGGGUGAUCGGCCACACUGGAACUGAGACACGGUCCAGACUCCUACGGGAGGCAGCAGUAGGGAAUCUUCCGCAAUGGGCGAAAGCCUGACGGAGCAACGCCGCGUGAGUGAUGAAGGUCUUCGGAUCGUAAAACUCUGUUAUUAGGGAAGAACAAAUGUGUAAGCAACUAUGCACGUCUUGACGGUACCUAAUCAGGAAGCCACGGCUAACUACGUG